rnacentral:lncRNA from 1 species
CCUCCCUGAGCCGCUGACCCCCCUCCCUGAGCCGCUGACCCCCUCCCUGAGCCGCUAGCCUGCUGACCCCCUCCCUGAGCCGCUAGCCCGCUGACCAUGCAGCUAUUGCUCCAGGCUACAAACAGCUGCCGCUCCGCUCGUCUCCCUGAAUUCAACACGGUACAUUCAUUCAUUUUAGAAAGAAGAACACACUAACAUUUUGACAAGUCAUUUUAAAUGUUUUUAAAUCUGCAACAACAGAACAUCUGAAAUGGGCAUCUGAAAUGGGUACACAACAGAACAUCUGAAAUGGGUACCCAACAGAACAUCUGAAAUGGGUACCCAACAGAACAUCUGAAAUGGGCAUCUGAAAUGGGUACACAACAGAACAUCUGAAAUGGGUACACAACAGAACAACAGAACAUCUGAAAUGGGUACACAACAGAACAACAGAACAUCUGAAAUGGGUACACGACAGAACAUCUGAAAUGGGUACCCAACAGAACAACAGAACAUCUGAAAUGGGUACCCAACAGAACAUCUGAAAUGGGUACACAACAGAACAUCUGAAAUGGGUACACAACAGAACAACAGAACAUCUGAAAUGGGUACACGACAGAACAUCUGAAAUGGGUACCCAACAGAACAACAGAACAUCUGAAAUGGGUACCCAACAGAACAUCUGAAAUGGGUACCCAACAGAACAUCUGAAAUGGGUACACAACAGAACAUCUGAAAUGGGUACCCAACAGAACAUCUGAAAUGGGUACCCAACAGAACAUCUGAAAUGGGUACCCAACAGAACAUCUGAAAUGGGCAUCUGAAAUGGGUACACAACAGAACAUCUGAAAUGGGUACACAACAGAACAACAGAACAUCUGAAAUGGGUACACGACAGAACAUCUGAAAUGGGUACCCAACAGAACAACAGAACAUCUGAAAUGGGUACCCAACAGAACAUCUGAAAUGGGUACACAACAGAACAUCUGAAAUGGGUACCCAACAGAACAUCUGAAAUGGGUACACAACAGAACAUCUGAAAUGGGUACCCAACAGAACAUCUGAAAUGGGUACCCAACAGAACAUCUGAAAUGGGUACCCGACAGAACAUCUGAAAUGGGUACCCAACAGAACAGAACAUCUGAAAUGGGUACACGACAGAACAUCUGAAAUGGGUACCCAACAGAACAGAACAUCUGAAAUGGGUACCCAACAGAACAUCUGAAAUGGGUACCCAACAGAACAGAACAUCUGAAAUGGGUACCCAACAGAACAGAACAUCUGAAAUGGGUACCCAACAGAACAUCUGAAAUGGGUACACAACAGAACAUCUGAAAUGGGUACCCAACAGAACAUCUGAAAUGGGUACACAACAGAACAUCUGAAAUGGGUACACAACAGAACAGUGUAGAUCCAAAAGCUGAACUCCAAAGGCACAUCUGACAAAGAUGCUGCUUGUCUUCUCUCCACUGUGAGCAGAUGGAAGGGUGCUCUGCUGACUGGCUGGCUGGCUGGCUGGCUGGCUGGCUGGCUGGCUGCAUGUUACAGAGCAUUAGACUGCUGAUUACUGCAGAUGGAAGGGUGCUCCACUGGCUGGCUGGCUGGCUGACUGGCUGGCUGGCUGCAUGUUACAGAGCAUUAUACUUCUGAUUACUGCAGAUGGAAGGGUGCUCUGCUGGCUGGCUGGCUGACUGGCUGGGGCAUUUUCAUAACUUCUGGUCAUUUCUUCAAAAGACAAAUGUUUUUACACAAUUACUUUGCAUUUACCUUGAAUUGCAGUACUGUAUAAUACCCAUUUAGUAUUGUGCACAUUGUAAGUUGCUUCAUUCAUCAUUGUUUUCAUACACAGAACUGAGGCAACUUCCAAAACUAGCAUUGUAUUUCUAGACAGAGAAUGGAUGGUAAAGACUCCUUGAACCCCCAGAGGAAAUAGUUUUUUUUUUGGAUUGUUAUACACUUGGUUAAUAUUCUGAUAUGCAGCAUGCGUUAAUCUACUUUAAUAUCAGGAUGGUAAAAGCUGUAAUACAAAGUGUUGUUUUUCUGAAUAGCAUCUGGGGCUAACGCUAGCCCAGUCAAUUCAAGUCGUUAUGUCUCCUAGCUUGGAAUUCAUUGUCCCCCUUCCCCAUUUUUUUUUUUAAAUUUCUAACCCGGGUACAAAUCAACCUCUAUUGGCCAGUCAAACCGCCUGGAAAAGUAGUCAUACAUUGUUAUGGGUGUUAUCUGUCUUUUUUUUUAUUUUAAUGGUUCUGCCAGCCUGGAGAAUGGACCUGGACGCAGCACACGGACCCAGAAGGGGAAUGCUUGAAAGAUAUCUUGUACAUUGGACCUAUGAAUCAAUGUUUUAAAAGCUAAAUAGUUCACAGCAUUUCAACAUUUACUUGCCAGUCAACUAAAGCUAAAACACUUCCAGGUUGUGUGUGUGUGUGUGUGUGUGUGUGUGUGUGUGUGUGUGUGUGUGUGUGUGUGUGUGUGUGUGUGUGUGUGUGUGUGUGUGUGUGUGUGUGUGUGUGUGUGUGUGUGUGUGAGAGAGAGAGGGGGAGAGAGAGAGAGGGAGAGAGAGAUACCUAGUAACAGUAGGUAGAGAUGUGAUAUUAUAAAAGAGAGAGGGAGAGAGAGAUACCUAGUAACAGUAGGUAGAGAUGUGAUAUUAUAAAAGGUAUUUGGAGAGAGAGAUACCUAGUAACAGUAGGUAGAGACGUGAUAUUAUACCGAGAGAACUUGAGAGAAAGAAAGAGGUGGGUUUUGGGUCCAUAACGCUCCCCAGUACGUUCAGCAGCUUCUGAGUCGUGUUGUCCAACGUUGCAUAGAUCCUGUCUGUUACGUCGGGACGCUUCGGCGUACGACAGGAAGGUGCACGCCAGAACGAAGGGGUCGAGUUCGAGAACAUCAUCAAAACAACGCGAUGUAAUCAUGGGUAAAUUAAGACUUGACCUACCAAAAUAAUAUUUAGUCUUUAUUUAUGACGGAAAGGUGAUUUUUCCAGUCUGGAUUCGUUUUUAAAGUCGGCUUGCGAUGUUGAUAGGCGUCUUACGACCGUCCCAUUAUGGCGCCUUAUUCCCUCCAUAGUGCACUAGGUAAAUAGGGGCCUAUUUGGGACGUGCUCCAGCAGGGCCAGACGAGGUCAGAUGUACUUGUUGGCCAGGUUCUGCACGUCGUUCUUACUGAAGGCAUCACUGUCCACGGCGGACAGACGGUCAAACAGUCGAGUCAUCUGAUCACGUUCACUCUUCUCCAGGAGCAUCACGACGACCUGUUAAUACACAGAGACAGAGGUUAACACGACGACCUGUUAAUACACAGAGACAGAGGUUAACA